rnacentral:misc_RNA from 1 species
GAUGAAGAACGUAGCGAAACGCGAAAGGUAAUGCGAAUUGCAGAAUCAGUGAGUCAUCGAAUCUUUGAACGCACAUUGCGCCCCCUGGUAUUCCGGGGGGCAUGCCUGUCCGAGCGUCAUUACAACCCUCAAGCUCUGCUUGGUGUUGGGCCCCGCCGCCCCGGCGGGCCCUAAAGUCAGUGGCGGUGCCAUCCGGCUCCGAGCGUAGUAAUUCUUCUCGCUCUGGAGGUCCGGUUGUGUGCUUGCCAUCAACCCCCAAUUUUUUUCAGGUUGACCUCGGAUCAGGUAGGGAUACCCGCUGAACUUAAGCAUAUCAAUAAGCGGAGGA